GAUGAACGCUGGCGGCGUGCCUAAUACAUGCAAGUCGAGCGAACAGACGAGGAGCUUGCUCCUCUGACGUUAUCGGCGGACGGGUGAGUAACACGUGUUUAACCUACCUCUACGACUGGGAUAACUUCGGGAAACCGGAGCUAAUACCGGAUAAUAUAUUGAACCGCAUGGUUCAAGAGUGAAAUACGGUUUUUCUGUCACUUAUAGAUGGCUCCGCGCCGCAUUAGCUAGUUGGUAAGGUAACGGCUUACCAAGGCAACGAUGCGUAGCCGACCUGAGAGGGUGAUCGGCCACACUGGAACUGAGACACGGUCCAGACUCCUACGGGAGGCAGCAGUAGGGAAUCUUCCGCAAUGGGCGAAAGCCUGACGGAGCAACGCCGCGUGAGUGAUGAAGGUCUUCGGAUCGUAAAACUCUGUUAUUAGGGAAGAACAAAUGUGUAAGUAACUAUGCACGUCUUGACGGUACCUAAUCAGAAAGCCACGGCUAACUACGUG
rnacentral:rRNA from 1 species